rnacentral:misc_RNA from 1 species
CUGCUGCAGAUGCUGAUCAUGUUUGUGUCGAUGCUCUUCAGUUUGUUUCAUUUGGAUUAUCAACUCUGCAUUUUUCCCAUUCAUAUUACUCUCGGGAAGUAUCAGGUUUUGACCAUCAAAAUUAGCAGAGCUUCCAGGAAAAGCAGAUGUCAAGUUUCCGAAUAUAAGUGGCUGGAAUUGACUCAAUUGAUUCUGCUGGGGUUGCUCUGCCAACAUAGGAAACUGUUGUAGUUGGCUAGGUGUCUGCAUAAGUGAGUUUGAAAGCAAUCCAUUCGAUGGUGAAGGAUAGCCUGGAUUAACUUCUUU